GCCCGUUUAGCUCAGUGGUAGAGCGCGCCACUCGUACGUCGAGGCUAGCUUCGAGGUUCAUGGUGAGGUCGGUUGUUCAAUCCAGCCAAUGGGCA